rnacentral:snoRNA from 1 species
ACCAAUUCCGAGGGAAGAAUACAAUCCAUUGCCCUUGGUAUAAUGGUUUGGGUGCGAUAUUAUUUUUUUGUGGUUAUUAUCCUGAUCGAUGAUAUUUUUUCAUGUCAUUAGAUCUUGUAUUUGAAGACAAAUCCUU